rnacentral:tRNA from 1 species
CCGUGGGAAGCCCAGAGGUAGGGCAGCGGACUGUAAAUCCGCGGUGCUUGCACGUGCAGGUUCGACUCCUGCCCCACGGACCA